rnacentral:rRNA from 1 species
GACGAACGCUGGCGGCGUGCUUAACACAUGCAAGUCGAACGGAAAGGCCCUGCUUUUGUGGGGUGCUCGAGUGGCGAACGGGUGAGUAACACGUGAGUAACCUACCCUUGACUUUGGGAUAACUUCAGGAAACUGGGGCUAAUACCGGAUAGGAGCUCCUGCUGCAUGGUGGGGGUUGGAAAGUUUCGGCGGUUGGGGAUGGACUCGCGGCUUAUCAGCUUGUUGGUGGGGUAGUGGCUUACCAAGGCUUUGACGGGUAGCCGGCCUGAGAGGGUGACCGGCAAAAUGGGACUGGGAUACGGCCCAGGCCUCUACGGGAGGCAGCAGUGGGGAAUAUUGCACAAUGGGCGGAAGCCUGAUGCAGCAACGCCGCGUGCGGGAUGACGGCCUUCGGGUUGUAAACCGCUUUCGCCUGUGACGAAGCGUGAGUGACGGUAAUGGGUAAAGAAGCACCGGCUAACUACGUG